rnacentral:piRNA from 1 species
UCAGAAGGCAAACGUUAGCACCAAAGGGC